rnacentral:tRNA from 1 species
GGCUCAGUAGCUCAGUAGGUUAGAGCAGAGGACUCAUAAGCCUAAGGUCGGCAGUUCAAAUCUGCCCUGAGCCA